AGUCACACAGGUGCCUGAUACGUGACUGGAGGUGUUCGCUGAUGUGGCCCCAACCCUGCCUUCCUCCCCACCCCACGAUGUUAGAAGAAACUCAACAGAGUAAAUUGGCAGCAGCCAAGAAAAAGCUAAAAGAAUAUCAGCAGAGGAACAGCCCUGGUGUUCCAGCAGGAGUGAAGAUGAAAAAGAAAAACACUGGCAGUAGCCCUGAGACAGCCACUUUUGGUGGUUGCCACUCACCUGGGGCUAGUCGGUACCAAGAACUGGAAUUAGCCCUGGACUCAAGCUCCGCAAUAAUCAAUCAACUCAAUGAAAACAUAGAAUCAUUGAAACAACAGAAGAAACAAGUGGAACAUCAGCUGGAAGAAGAAAAGAAAACCAACAGUGAAAUACACAAAGCACAGAUGGAGCAGUUAGAGGCAAUCGACAUCCUCACAUUGGAAAAGGCAGACUUGAAGACCACCCUUUACCAUACUAAACGUGCUGCCCGACACUUCGAAGAAGAGUCCAAGGAUCUGGCUGGCCGCCUGCAAUACUCCUUACAGCGUAUUCAAGAAUUGGAGCGGGCUCUCUCUGCUGUGUCUACACAGCAGCAGGAAGAGGACAGGUCCUCGAGCUGCAGAGAAGCGGUCCUCCAGUGGCGGUUACAGCAGACCAUAAAGGAGCAGGCACUGCUGAACGCACACGUGACACAGGUGACAGAGUCACUUAAACAAGUCCAGCUAGAGAGAGAUGAAUAUGCUCAACAUAUAAAAGAAGAGAGGGCCCGGUGGCAGGAGAGGAUGUGGAAAAUGUCGGUGGGGGCUCGCACAUUGAAGAAGGAGAAGAAGCGUGUCAUACAUCAGAUACAGGAGCUGGAGAGGAGCUUGUCCAAACUCUCUAUGUGAAAGUGGCUUGGAAAUUGGCUACCGUCGGCUGAGCCCCCAUCCCCGGCACCCCCAGCAGUGACCUCUGUGGUGGAGCAGCUACAAGAUGAGGCCAAACACCUGAGGAAGGAGGUGGAGAGUUUGGAGGGAAAGCUCCAAUCCAAGGUGGAAAACAACCAGGCCUUGAGUCUCCUGAGCAAGGAACAAAAGUAGAGGCUCCAGGAGCAGGACGAGAGGCUCCGAGAGCAGGAGGAGUGGAGGGUGCGGGAGCAGGAGAGACUGUGUGAGCAAAAUGAGAGGCUUCGGGAGCAGCAGAAGACGCUACGGGAGCAGGGUGAGAGGCUGCGAAAGCAGGAGCAGAGGCUAUGCAAGCAGGAGGAGAGGCUGCGAAAGGAGGAGGAGAGGCUGCGAAAGCAGGAAAAGAGGCUGUGGGACCAGGAGGAGAGGCUGUGGGACCAGGAGGAGAGGCUGUGGGAGAAGGAGGAGAGGCUACAAAAGCAGGAGGAGAGGCUCAUGCUCUCCCAGAACCACAAGCUCGACAAGCAGCUGGCCGAGCCACAGUGCAGCUUCGAGGAUCUGAAUAACGAGAACAAGAGCGCACUGCAGUUGGAGCAGCAAGUAAAGGAGCUGCAGGAGAGGCUGGGCGAGAAGGAGACAGUAACCUCUGCCCCAUCCAAGAAGGGCUGGGAGGAACCAGCUGCCAGCCACCAGAACCAACAGCUAGAGACCCAGCUAAGCCUCGUGGCUCUCCCUGGAGAAGGAGAUGGAGGACAACAUCUGGACAGUGAGGAGGAGGAGGCGCCUCGGCCCACGCCAAACAUCCCAGAGGACCUGGAGAGCCGGGAGGCCACGAGCGGCUUUAUGGACCUCCCGAAGGAGAAGGUGGGCAGGAAGGAGCAGGUGGAAAAACUAGAGCUUGGAUUCAUCCAGCUCUCUGGAGCGACAGACGGCAUGAGAGAGUACAUCACUGAAUAUGAGAGCCAGGGGGCAGUGCCAAACACGCGGCACCAGGAGAAGGAAGACAUCAUCAGGCUGGCCCAGAAGGAGGAGGAGAUGAAGGUGAAGCUGCUGGAGCUGCAGGAGCUGGUGUUGCCCCUUGUGGGCGACCACGAGGGGCAUGGCAAAUUCCUCACCGCUGCCCAGAACCCUGCCGAUGAGCCCGCUCCAGGGGCCCCAGCCCCCCAGGAACUUGGGGCUGCCGAUGAGCAGGGUGAUUUUUAUGAAGUGAGCCUGGACGAUAGCGAGGAGCCUGCACCGGGAGCGGCCGGGGAGGGUUCUCCCCAUGACAACCCCACUGCACAGCAGAUCGUGCAGCUGCCUCCUGUAAUGCAGGACACCCAGGAGCACCCAGGCUUGCCCGGCAACCCCUGUGUGUCAUUCUUUUACCAGGCAGCCGAGAACAGGGAGAUAAACAUCAUCAUCUAAGAGCUGGUCAAGAAAUUAAAAAAAAAAAAAACAAAAAGUUAUGGGGUUCAUCUCCUACACAAUUCAUUUACUCCAUUUGAAUGUUAGAGCCACUCAUGUUUAUUUGUGUUUCUAAUUUACAGUUUAAAUUUAUUUGUAAAAAGUUAAGGGAGAGUGGGUCUUUCCCUGAUGUUCACUCUGGCAUCCUUUAGCAUUUUUGUUUUUAAUUUGAUAAUUGUAGGUCAUUAGCACGCAUAUCGAGUUUGCCCUUAUGUGGUGGGAGUUCAAACACACAAAGACCUACUAUUUGCGCAAAACUAUUCUUGCUGGUUUGGAACAGGCUGCCAUGCUUUUUUAAUGUUAUUGCAGCACGUAUAUUCAUUACAGAAUUCAGAUAAAAUGUGCUUAUGUUCUGCUAUUAUGUUUGAUCGAAUCCUAACCACAGUGAGCUCUUCAUUAGCUCAAUAUGUGGUUUGCCCUCAAGUGCGCACCGUUUAUUACUUUGUAAUAUGCCACUGUGAGUACUGACAUUUAGAGUUGUUUAAAGGCCGAGAACUGGAAACAGCAUUUCCCCUAUUUUCUGUGUAUUGGGGAUGAGAGUAAUAACAUUUUGGGGAGCUUUUAAAAUCUCACAGAAGAGGAAAGUGGCCUGCUCUGGCAGGUGUGUGCAGGAUACAGUGUGUUUCAUUUGUUCUGGUGCCAAGAAUGAGCGCUGUACUGUGGUGGCUUCCUUAGGAUUUGUGUGUGCUCUGGGCUCAUGAAGAUAUUGUAUCAUGAGCUGCAGCAGUUGUACCCUUUCUCGAUAACCUAAAAAGGGAUUAUUUCUGAGGAAUGAAAGGCUCCCAUCAUUGACUGUGGAUGUGGAAAACCUUUUCUAGCUUAGAGCAUUUAUAUCUACAAUACAUUUUAAAGUCAGAGUUCAUGUUACCUGUUUUAAUCACAUGAGUAUAUGUCCCAGUACACCAAAAGGCACUGCUUGGCAUUCUUCUUAAUGUAUUUAGUGAGGAUCAUAAGAAAUCCUUUAAGAGUUUAAAUGUCCCUGGAACAGGCAUACGGGCUCUAGUCAAGAAUGAAUUCGAGUGAAGGAAAGCUGUGUGACACUUGGCCUUCCUCUAUGUUCAUGGAGCUUCUUUGAGGCUAGAAGAUUGAUUUUAUCAUCUAGACCUCUCUGGCUAAUACCUAUUCUUCAGCCACGUUGGUUUCUCUGACAUAGGAAUUUACUUCUUUCCCUUGACUGGAAAACACUUUAAAAAUAAUAAAAACCAUUAUUAUAAACCAAUAUAUGUGAGAGUACUUAGUUGAAACAAAAAGGAGUUUUAGUAGACAGUAUUAUACUACACAUGAAAAUCAACGUGAAGUUUAUGCAACUUAAAAUGUUUACAAGCUGCCGUGCAAUCUAAUGUUUGUGAAUGUCCAAGUAUUAUGAGGAAAAGUGUCUAUACAAUUAUAGAGUUAUAUUUCCUCACAGGGUUCUUUACAAAGAGUGAAAUAUGUUUUUAUACCUCUCGGUUUCAGUUAGAGGCAUAUUUUGUGCCAUAUUUAUGUUAAUGUGCCUAUACAUGAUGAAUGAAUUAUUUCAGUCAUACAUUGCCUAAAUCAUAACUUUAAGAUGCUUGGGAAAGAAUCAACAGCUAAAAUUUCAUGAAGUUCUAAAGUCUGUGUUCCAAAAUACGUCACAUUAUUAGGAUGCAGGGAGAGAUGCAUGUGUGCUCCCUGGGGUGGGCAUUUCUAGUGAUUAGACCAUCUCCAUUUUUAGCAUUUGGCAUCUUCAUUGAUACUUUUAUACAUACGACAUUAAUAGGAGAGCAAUAAUAAGAUUUUACAGAUGAAAUAACAGAUUUGCCUGCAGUCACUGAAAGAGUGCAAAUAUUGGGUUAUUGUGACUUCAACUGACUCUUCCAAAUUGUUUGAAUUUAUCAAUGUAUUAGAUAAACCCAGUUUCAGAAUGAUAAGGAAAAACUGUUAGACCAAAUAAUGUGGCUAAUUAACAGUGGUACAAUUUCUAGCCUGAGGGUUUAAAAUGGACUUAAGGUCCUGUUCUUGCCUCCUAUUUUGUGAACUUGCCGCUUUUGCAUUAUUUGAGUUCACUUGAAAGACAGUUACUUUAAGUCCAUUUUAAACCCUCGGGCUAGAAAUCAUACUACUGUUAAUUAGCCAACUUAUUUGGUCUAACAGUUUUUCUUUAUAAUUCUGAAACUGGGUUUACCUAAUACAUUUAUAAAUUAUUUCAAAGGUAUUUUUAUAGUUCAGAUCACUUCACUUUUACCCUGAUAAAUAUAAAUGACUAGGAAUGACCUUCAGAUAGCCUUUAGCACCUGUAACCAAUCUGACAAUAAUGUGUUCAUCAGGUACCUAUGGAUUAAAUCACACACUGGCAUAUUUAAGCUGAAUGUCAGUCUGGAAAAUGAAUGUACUAUAUUAACUGAAAUACCACUCUUUGUGUAGGUAUUCUGUCAUAUAUUUAAGAAAAAUUAAAUAGCAUGUAAAUCGUAUGACAAUAACCUAAGUCUUUCUUCAAAGUGCAUGCGUUCCUUUGCAAUACCUCAUUCAGCCAAGUAUUUGUUCUCUUCCUCAUUCAGUAUAAGGCAGCUUUCAAUUUGCUUAGAAGGCAAUAUUGGAAGGUUAGAGUUUAUCAGAAACAUAGAAUUUUAAAGUGUGAGUUCAACUGAAUAAAUUAGAAUUUCUGUAGAAGUGAAGAAUUAAAAUACCUAUUUAAAUAUUGCAAUAUAUAAUAAUUUUUAAAGUAUUUGAUUAAACCUGA